UACGUAGGUGACAAGCGUUGUCCGGAUUUACUGGGCGUAAAGAGCGCGCAGGCGGUCGAUCAAGUCGCGUGUGAAAGCCCCCGGCUCAACUGGGGAGGGUCACGCGAUACUGAUCGACUCGAAGGCAGGAGAGGGUAGUGGAAUUCCCGGUGUAGUGGUGAAAUGCGUAGAUAUCGGGAGGAACACCAGUGGCGAAGGCGGCUUCCUGGCCUGUUCUUGACGCUGAGGCGCGAAAGCUAGGGGAGCAAACGGG
rnacentral:rRNA from 1 species